rnacentral:rRNA from 1 species
CACGUAGUUAGCCGGUGCUUUUCUGCAGGUACCGUCACUUUCGCUUCUUCCCUACUAAAGAGGUUUACAACCCGAAGGCCGUCAUCCCUCACGCGGCGUUGCUGCAUCAGGCUUUCGCCCAUUGUGCAAUAUUCCCCACUGCUGCCUCCCGUAGGAGUCUGGGCCGUGUCUCAGUCCCAGUGUGGCCGGUCACCCUCUCAGGCCGGCUACCCGUCGUCGCCUUGGUGAGCCAUUACCUCACCAACAAGCUGAUAGGCCGUGAGCCGAUCCAUAACCAAAAAAUCUUUCCAAACACAGACCAUGCGAUCGUGUUAGAUAUCCAGUAUUAGCCACCGUUUCCGGAGGUUAUCCCAGAGUUAUGGGCACGUUGCUCACGUGUUACUCACCCGUUCGCCACUAAUCCACCCAGCAAGCUGGGCUUCAUCGUUCGACUUGCAUGUGUUAAGCACGCCGCCAGCGUUCGUCCUGAGCCAGGAUCAAACUACU